rnacentral:rRNA from 1 species
GACGAACCGAGCGAACGUUGUUCGGAAUCACUGGGCUUAAAGGGCGCGUAGGCGGGCUGUCAAGUCUGGGGUGAAAUCCCGCGGCUCAACCGUGGAACUGCCUCAGAUACUGACGGCCUCGAGGGAGAUAGGGGCGAGCGGAACUAAUGGUGGAGCGGUGAAUGCGUUGAUAUCAUUAGGAACUCCGGUGGCGAAGGCGGCUCGCUGGAUCUUUUCUGACGCUGAGGCGCGAAAGCUAGGGGAGCAAACGGG